GACGAACGCUGGCGGCGUGCUUGACACAUGCAAGUCGAACGGAAAGGCCUGCUUUCCCUUGUGGAUUGCGGGUACUCGAGUGGCGAACGGGUGAGUAACACGUGAGUGAUCUGCCCCCAACUUGGGUAUAAGCCUGGGAAACUGGGUCUAAUUCCCGAUAGGACUGCAGGGUGCUGCCUGUGGUGGAAAACGAUUUUCUAGUGGUUGGGGAUGAGCUCGCGGCCUAUCAGCUUGUUGGUGGGGUAAUGGCCUACCAAGGCGGCGACGGGUAGCCGGCCUGAGAGGGUGGACGGCCACAUUGGGACUGAGAUACGGCCCAGACUCCUACGGGAGGCAGCAGUGGGGAAUAUUGCACAAUGGGCGGAAGCCUGAUGCAGCGACGCCGCGUGGGGGAUGACGGCCUUCGGGUUGUAAACUCCUUUCGACCGCGAGGAAGCCACCUGGUUGGAAGGGUGGUGACGGUAGUGGUAGAAGAAGCACCGGCUAACUACGUG
rnacentral:rRNA from 1 species